GCCCCUAUAGCUCAACGGAUAGAGCACUGGUUUUCUAAACCCGUGAUAAAGGUUCGAUUCCUUUUAGGGGCACCA
rnacentral:tRNA from 1 species